rnacentral:lncRNA from 1 species
AGGGUUUACGAGCCCGGCAGGGAUCUGAUAAUGGAGAGGGCUCCCGCCACAACUGCCAUUAGUAAACGAUCUCGCGAUACCGGCGAAUACCCAAGCACUUUCCACGCCUCUCGGCUACCGGGACCUCUUGAGCCUUGUCCGUUGCUCCAUCGAACCCGAAUCUGAACAUGGUUUAUGAACCCACUUGCUGACCAUGUUCAGAGAGAGGGCAAGGCUACCAUGGAGAGCCAAGCCCUCGGGGGGAGAAUCAAAUCAAGACUCUCUCAGUGUCUAUCUUUAAAUGGUUUACUGCCCUUUGCUACCUUUUUGGGCCUGGGAGAAGCGUUCUUGUCAUCAACUCCGGAGUGGUCCUAGUGGAGCUUUCCCUCUACAUUAUUUAUAACACCCCUUUUGAAUUUUAGUUCUUAAAAUAUCCCCAAUUUAAUUUAUUUAAUACUAAUUAUAUCUUAAAAUCAACCAUCUUACUACAAAAUUUUACUUU